GCCAGGCACAGUGUCGCAUGCCUGUAAUCUCAGUGGCUCCAGAGGCUGAGCCAGGAGGAUCGUGAGUUCAAAGUCAGCCUCAGCAAAGGUGAGGCGCUAAGCAAUUCAGUGAGACCCUGACUCUA
rnacentral:sRNA from 1 species